AAGUCUGCAACUACAAUUAGAAUUAAUUUUCUAUAUUCAGGUAUUGUUUCUCCAAUUCGUUUCUUUUGCUUGAUAUCUGUAAAUCUAUUUUUCUGUCUUUUCUAUAAUCGCCGUUUGUUUGGCUGAUUGUGUUCCCUGAUCUUCUGAAAUCCUCAGCAUGUUAGUGUUGGUUGUUCUCCUGCCUCUGUUUUUGUUUCCUUCUCCUGUUGUUGUCAUUUCUCUCUUUUCCUUCUUUGACCUUAAUCAGAGGUGCCUUGAUAGUUUUUGUUUUCUCUAGCAAUAGACUGUUUCAACUUAAAUUUCAUUGGGGCUUUUCCUCCUUUAGAUUAUCCUUCCACUUGGAUUCUUAUGUCCUUAUCAUCAAAUUAGCUAAAGGUGAAUUUCAUUUGUGCAACUAGUAAGAUUGUUACAUAUAGAUUUUCAUUUUGAUAGUGUACUUUUGAAUAGUUUCCUUUGUUUGAAUUAGUUUCUCCUGGUUUCAACCUUCGCCAACCCUGAUCUAAACAUGCUUCUUAUAAUUUAUGUUGUCACCAAUGAUAAAUGGUCUCACUUACUUGUUCGGUUUCACGUUUCACGUCUCUUCUUUAUUCAUUGUUUUAGAUAAUUGACGCAGCAGUAGUGACCAUUCCUCCAUCGAACCUCUUAGACAAAAUUUAUCAGACAUCAUUUGGGUCCUCGAUUGAAUCUACCACAAUCAUGGUAGAGACGCCAUGCCAUCCUGGACCAGCUUGCUUACAAAUUCACAACAGUUUUCCUCUUAACUUUCAGGAUCAUAUCCUAUUCGUGGCCCUAGUGCCCGGUUUUUGAUUUUUCACCCCCAAUUUCAGGGCCUUUGUGCCCUGUUUCAGAAGCUAGUCUCUGAUGUCGUAGCCUUCUGCUUCGUUAAUCAAAACUCAAUGUAAUCUUCUAAAAUAAUCCAAUUUUGUUACUCAUCAUUAGUCCAU
rnacentral:lncRNA from 1 species